GCAAACUCCAUGAAGGCCCCAUGGCAGCAUCUGGAGCAGGGGGUGCCUGCGACUUCCAAAGCCCCAGUGGGCAUGUUACAGUGUUCUUUUACCUCUGCUGUCUGUGGAUGGCUGAGUGUUAAACCAGCUCAGUGGAGGGUCAGUGUGGCAGCCUUUUAUUCCCUGCCCUUUUGGUACCCAGGUUCUUGUCGGCAUCCAGGAGGAAUCAGGAAAUGUUAAUUGGACAUGCUAAAUGGGAACUAGUAAAAUCGCCUCAGCCCACAAAGUAUAGGGUAGAAGCUGGAGUGCUAAUCAGGACAGAUCCUCCACUGCACAGUCCUUUGUGUGGAGCAUUUAUCAGGGAUAAUGGCAAAAAAACGGAAACAAAAAUCAUGGCAUUUUGAAGACCAGAGAUAUGAAUCUCCUUCAUCUGGCGUCCCACUGGGCUGGAAUCCUUUUCACUGAGAAAGCUCUGCUUCUAAAACUAUACAAGCACCCUCCCUCUAGGCUCAGGGACUGUUGCAGAGAAGGUGGGCCCAUAAGAUAAUAAGGACCAGUUACGAGCGAUAAAAUUAGGUCAAGAUCAAACCUCCAAAUCAAGAAGGGGUACAAAGAUGCCUAAACAACUGGUAAAGCACCUUUAGUUGCCUUCUAAAUGAUUAUGUGUCACUUUUCAUCCACCCCAACUAUAGAGUGUUUUCUGCUUACAAUAGAAUUAAAGGAAAAUAUUUACUAACAGAAUAUAGAUACCUUGUAACAAAGCCUCCUGGAUAUAAUACUCCCAGUCAUGAGUUGUGAAGAUAAAUAUAGAUAUACAGAGAUAUAUACACAUAUUUUAAAUUAUUUUUAGAACAAUGCUUUUGUUUUGUAUAGCUAAUUGCUAUAAGCCUGUAACAAAAAACAAGCUUACAGUAUCUCAACACAUAGAAGUUAAAAAUAAAUCAGUCUUAUAAAUUUGCCUUUUUGUUUUGUUUGUUGGCUUUUUACUUAAAAUAAUAACUUGAAGAGGUAAUGAAUGCCUGUCCACAUCUAUUCCUAUCUGGCCUAGAACAGUUAAUUGGCUGUAAGUGUUUUGACUCUUAAGGCCCUAUGCCUCAGGGAGCCCCACCAAGGGACAGGAUAGACCCAGGGCAGGCAGCCAUGCUGAGAGGUGACAGCGUGCUGGCAGUCCUCGCAGCCCUCGCUUGCUCUCGGUGCCUCCUCUGCCUGGGCUCCCACUUUGGCGGCACUUGAGGAGCCCUUCAGCCCGCCGCUGCACUGUGGGAGCCCCUUCAUGGGCUGGCUGAGGCCGGAGCCGGCUCCCUCAGCUUGCGGGCAGGUGUGGAGGGAGAGGUGCGGGCGGGAACCAGGGCUGCGUGGGCUGCUGGCGGGCCACGGUAGUUCCAGGUG
rnacentral:lncRNA from 10 species